UCAAUCGUUGUGUCAAAAAAACCAAUUCCCCCAAAGUGAAAGAUUUAAAAUCAAUAAUAUAAAGAACAAAUCGAACUGACAUAGUAAAAGGUUCACAAUGGCAAUGCAAAUGUCAGCAUCACGGAAAUAUAUCAAACAUUUGUUGGUUGAGAGGUCAUGAGGGAGUAAUUACCAGGCUUCUUAGGCAAGCCCAGUCAUCAACAAGAGGUUGUCCUGCAGGUCGAACAGCAUUCAGCACCUCUGGACCCUUUUUAAUUCCAAACAAGAGCUUUCCAAUUAGUUUGACACUGUGAUCUAUAUGCAUCCGAUGUGACAUUGCCUCAAAAAAUUGCUUCUGCGCUUCGAGUUUCCUAGAAGAGCCUUCAGGAGCUUUACGGAACUGAAACAAAGCGGACGCAAAAUCAGAUUUGGUUACACAAGGCUCACACAACUGUUACGUGAGGGCAAUUGACAAUACCGAAUUUCUUCUUUAUAUAGUGAAAGAAGAAUAAGAAGAUGAGUUGAAAGGAAGAGAAGUAAUUUUUCAGUCAAAGGUCAAAACUGAUGGCUACACAAUUUAACUUCUCUAGUUAAGGAAGUCCUUUUACUUCUACUAACACUUUCAGCAAAGUAAUAUGCAGAUUUAAGGACCUUCAAUUAUCAAAAAUCCAUUGAUAGACCUAUGGUUCUACAGUUCCAUUUUUUGCCGGACCACCCCUUUUAGUAGUUCUUCAUUCGAUUGAUCUUGUGAUUCUCAUUAGGGAAACAAUCUAAGAGAGGCUGCAAUUGACCAGACAGCUGCAUGUGACAAAACCCUCAAGAAUCUAUCCUCAAACAUUUAGCACCACGGAAACAAUCUAAGAGAGGUUGCAAUUGAACAGACAGCUGCAUGUGACAAAACCCUUAAGAAUCUAUCCUCAAACAUUUAGCAUCUGGUGGUGCCAUGACUUAAAUCUAAAGCGUGCAGCCUCAAACAUGACAAGGGAGAGAGAAACCUUGUGCCAGAAAUGAAGCAGAUCGGCAUCCCGCUGGUUAACAGCUUUCUGAGGAGGCCUUAGGGAGUUGUCAUCCACAAAAGAAGAGUUAUCAUUUGCAGGAUUUGUGCCCAUGUACAGGAAGAGAUCUUCCUUACUUAACCCUAUGUCACCAAAUUGCAUGACAUGGGAACCGUAUGCAGUGUUGUCAUUAGCUGUCCUCUUUUUCACCUGCAUAUGCCAGCCCAAAGAAAUACCAUAAGAUGAGAAGAAGAAGCACAGAGAGAGUGAAAAGCAACUGAAGCAGUCCAGGCAAUAUAAGAAGUAACUUCUUCCAUGUGCUUGCACUGUAGCACUGUAUGAAUACUUAACCAAGAAUUGUACUACAAAAUAGUAAUCCUUGCUAAAAGACACUUGGGAGCUCAGUUGCCUGAUGGAAGCAAAAUUUCUUGACAACGAAAGGUAGAAUAAACAUUGCUUUCUUCCUAGUUGCUCCACACAAUGACAGUAUCAAUGUCCUUACCAGUUGGUAUUGCUGGUGCAGAGUUUCGGUUCGCAGGUUGUGCACCUCACUGUUCACAAAGACAAACAAAAAAAAGAAGAAAAAGUUAAGAUAGAACUUUAUGGUUGUUAAACAUAAGCUUUGAUUUCUCAAGAGCCAAUCAAAACAUAUGAACCUGAUCCAACUAUUACAAAGGAACAGAGGCUUGUAAACCGGUACAAGAACAACUGGAAUCACAUUGAGCAUGAAUUUAAUAUGCAUAUCCAGAGUUGCAAUAUAAGAAAUAUUCAAUCAAGUUCCAUCUGAUAUUAUGGAAGUCAUGUCCUUCCUCCUUUCUCCUCUCUUUGUUUUUGGCUAUUUAAAUUUGCAAACAUUGGAUUCUUAAUUGCCAAUAGAUUAGCAAUCUGCAAUGGGAAUGCUUUUUUAUGCGAGUACACAAAAGUCCAUGCUUAGAAAAGAGAAAAGCUACCUCAAAGUCCAUAUAAGCUAAAAAAUUUCAAUAAUAAAUUAUGCAGUACUUAUUAUGAAAUUAGAUUAGUAGAUAAGUAUAUAAUCAUGGAAAGAAUAUACCAAUCAGCAAGCCCCAAAAAUGUAACAUGAGCAAAAACUUACUAUUCAGAUAAGAGCACACAUGCUUAAAAGGUAAAUAAUGGACGAGUCCUAAUUCGAAUAUUCAAAGCAUUACUUAUAUCUAAACCAAAAGCCCAACAUCAGAAAUGUAUGAAGAUCUUAAUAGCAUAUAAUUAACAACUACGAUACAUAUUAAUUACCAAGCAUCAAAUCAAGGAAAUUGUGCAUAAUUGACUGCCUCUUUAACCAAUAAAUUGUUGUUGUCUACAUUUUCAAAAUAAUAUAAAAGGAGAAUGUGCGAAUGAAAAAUAUCUCCGAUCUUUCUUUUGAUCUUUGCAAUUAAACAAUGAUAAAUGGACCCAAUUAUGGCUUUUCAAUUGUGCUUUCAAUUCCUCCAUUCUUGAUUUGCAAGACAAACAUUCCAAAAUCAGAUCAUUCAAUAAAAUUUAGAAAAAUGGGAAUGCAUGGACCAUGGUCAUGCAUAUUGCUACCAUUCAACUAAUGCACUAAGAGUCGCCCAUGAUACACCGCAAAAUAAAUUAUCAAUCCCAAAUUGGAGAAAAAAUCCCCAUUAUAACACUGACUUCUAAUCUAGAAAGAACAAAGUCAAAAUGUUAUGUGUUUCUCAUCUAAAGUCAUGAAUGAGAAAAUAAGGAUUUGGGAUUACCUGUCUUCCAUCCAGGCAACACUGUACAAGUCACCAAGACAUGUCUCGUAUUCUACUGGAGGGCUAGGAUACUCUCCAGGGCAAUAGGUGCCCCAACUGCUCUCUUCUGCAUUAGAAGCUGUUGUUGCAUAUAUGUUCAAACCUUCUGGAAGAAGGCCCUCAAAAAUACUUCCCGAUUCACAAGCUUCAAGGUAGAAUACCUGUGUUUAUAAGACAAAGGGAACAAAAUGAAAAGUUUUACACAAUGUCCAAGCAAACUGCUUUAGUGAACUUAAAUUACCAAGCUUUUAUAGGUCCCAGACGCAUGCUUCUUUUUUAAGACAUCUAUCAGAUCGUCAGCAUAUAAGAAAGGGCUGGUGGGCAUUCCUGAUAAAGAUCAAUGUCAAUCAUGAGAUUCUGAUAUGAAGACAGUUGGAUAAAUCAUCUCUAAAUUGGAGAAGGGGUACAAAUGAGAUAUGGAACCCAAUCCAACUUUUAUGACUUUAUUAUAGAUAUUUCAGUUCAACUCAACAUAUGCCAUAAACACUCAAAAGACAAUCUACAUCCAAUGGAGAUCAUCUUGUGCAACUAUCAAGUACUAACCAAGCACACCAGGGCCACCAUGAUCGGUAUAAUAGAUGAAAAUAGUAUCAUCUGGACCACUCUCCAAAACCUUUCCACUGCCUCCUGUGAGAGCAGUCUUGUUUCCAAGGAUAACAGAGAAAAAGUUGUUAACGUUAACAUCCUCUCCAGUGUAAUCCUGCCAACAGAAAAGACUAGUGACUCAACAUCUGAUAACAGACCUCUAGAGAACAAUUUUCACCCUGAACUAAUGACUAAGUCUUUGAAAAUAGACUUUCAACAAAUAUAAACAAAAAAUUUCAUACUAAAUUAGUGACUAAGCAUUUGAAAACAGACCUUUGGAACUCCUUCAUAAACAUCAUCUCCAUCUGGACUGUUAAUAACAAUUCCAGGUCGAGGGUUCUCUUCAUUAUCAGCAAUGUCAUCAUAUAUAAAAACAAUGAUAUUUUCAUCCUUCAACCCUCCCUUCUUCAAGAGCUGAUAUGCAUGGCAAACAUCGGCCUGAAACGAAUGGAGCAUAUUAUCAACAACAGUAAAAAAAUCCCAACCCAGGACAAAGGACAAAUGAAAUAAGCAAAGGUAGAUAGGAAUCCAAUUUUAUUUCUAAUGGCAUUGAAAAGCUUCAGCUGUUACCCAUAAUGUAAAGCACUCUAUUCCUUUUUUAACUGUAGAAGCAGUUUAUAUUUGAAGGUUAGAAGAAUAUGAGAAAGACAUGGAAGGAGACUAUAGGGAAAAAUUUCUCCAAUUUAAGUCUCAUAGAAGAGGAAAACAACAUAAAAUUCUAUCUUCUUUUAGCAGAUUCAUACAAAAGGAAACUAAACUAGCAUCUCCUUUGGGACUAUGUUUAUUGGUCCAUGAAAGUAUAGGGAAAGUAAAGAAACAGAAACAUAUCACCGUAUAGGCUUAAAAGACUCGAUUAUAAAGCAGAAAGGUUGUGGAUUAGAAAACACUAUAUCACUUCUGCUUCACUCACUCCUAACUAGCAAUUAGAUAUGAAAAUCCAAUUUCAUUUUUUUCUUUUGUAUUCUCAUCCCCUAGAAAAAUCUUCCCAUUGCCCAUGCAAAUUCAAUCCACCAAACACAACGUCCAGCAAAUUCAGAUACUCAUGUGAACACUGAACUAAUACUAGGAAUUAGUACUACCCUUUGUCCCUUAAGUAAUGGCAGAGCAAGGAAAUGAACGAAAAUAACCCAUAUGCAACUGUUUUAGUGCCAUCAAUGAGUAAGUUACAAAAGGAAAUAUCCUGAAAAUUUCCCUCCUUGGCCACGAAACAUAGUAAGAGUCUAAGUAAUUUCAUACGGACCAGCACCGUUCAAAUUUGAGAUUUACCAGUGCAGCCAAAGGUAUACGCAAAUGGACCACGAGACUUUCUAUUCAAAUCAUUAUUCGAACCGUUAGAGUUAUCAUUACAACACUUUCUAUUAAAAUCAUUAUUCGAAUCGCUAGAGUUAUCAUUACAACAGUAAACAAGUCAGUUUUUGACUCCGAUCCAAAUUCCAGAGUUCCGAAAUCGAAAUACGUCGGAAUUAGAAUUUAAGAAAGAUUGGAUCAAUUCGAGUGAUAUUACCUACAAAAUCACUCCUCGCAAAAUCACACACACAAAACUUACAGAAAAACAACACCGAAACGAAACUACAUCAUUUCAGAACCUCGCGAUUUAGCUCCAAAUCGAGUCAAAUCCACGAUCACAUUCAUUAAAUUAGACCGACGUAAAGGGGAGAAGGUCGUCGGAUUCGAGCUGCGGCCCAGCAAGUUGGGAGAAUCACCUGGUGACGGUAAUUCCAGUACCCGUUGGAUCCAGCGAUCAGGACCGCCCACCUCGUCCCGACAGAGUCGUCGUCGCCGCCGUCGUCGCCGGCGCGGAAGAACCUCGAGGCGUCGGACGGCAGCCGGAUGACGUUGCGGCCGGCGGCAAGGCCGGCGGAGACGGAGAGGAGGAGGAGGAGGAGCGCGGCGGCGGAGGCGAGGCGGAUCAUGGCGGCGCUGCAGGUGGUCCGGGGAUGUUGCUUGCGAUUACGUCGAGCCGAUGGUUAUAUUUUCGAGUGAGAGAGAGAGAGAUAGAGAGAGUAUGGGAUUGGAUAAAGCGGUGAUUGGUGGGAUUUCAUCAUUCGCAGCAUCGACGGCUGCGAUUGGGGCUGCGCCGGGGCCCACCUCAAAGGUUCUUUGGACGACGUGCCGCGGGGGUCGCUUUCUCCGUCCAAUUCGUCGAUGGGGAACGGAACGGACGGUCCAGAUGGGACGAUGGACGUCGACGAGGGCCGUCCCUAGGAAGGGGACGCACGGGAUGAUUCCCCGGGAUCUCCGCCGCGCGACGGAACGUCCCGCGCGAGAAAGUUAGCUCGGGAACGGACAGGUGGCAGUGGGCAAUUUCUAGGCUUGACCGAUUGAUGGAAGUCCCUAAAAUAUCGGAACUUCCCAAUAGAUCACCGAUUGGGCGGGUUUAGAUUGAUUUUCGCUUUUCAACUCAUGUUUAACUAUUUUUAGAAUUCGGUUUCAAUUCUCAAUUCUCCGAAUUCAUUUCUAUUGCACGUUAGUAAUCGGUGCUUAACAAUUUUUCAUAUGGAUACGAUUUAGUGGGUGAGAUUCUAGCUUGAUCUUUAACUUGAAUUUACUCGAAGCUCGAUGUCUCACAGUUUGUGUCUAGAUACAUUUUGGUGGCUGGUGAUGGGGACCUUUUUCAUUUUCUUCUGGAGCUGGUAAUUGUGUGGAAAUAAGGGGAAAUAUCUGAAGGAAACCAACACAAAAGGUCAAGGAAAGAUUCCUUCCUCUGAUUUGCUUUCGAUCGACUGGCUUUAUGGGCACGCCAACGAAGACGUCCUCCAUCGGGCUGAUGUGAAAUCUUCGAACAGCAGUGGUAUACAGAGCAGAAUCAUCAUUGAGCAGAAGACAAAUUGCGUGAAUACAAGAGAAGGUCCGUCGGUCGGAUCACUCUGCUUCGCCCGUCCCUUCCACUCUUCCUUUUCCUAAGCUAGCCGCCGGAGGGAUGAUAACGAUGUUCGACGCGAAAUUUUGAUUGAUUAGCUCACCGUAACACUCAAGGAUUAGCGAGAUCAAACAAGUGCUGGUGUGUCUUGUGUCUGAGAGCAACACGAGAAUCGCGUAACGCAUUGAUUCACGUCGUUAUCACCCGAAAAUGAUCGACAGGGACCCAGAUAUUUGUAGCUUGCAUAGUCCAUGUGGAACUGUAAUAACAUAUCAUGGAGGCACAAGACAUUCAGUUGAUAGGUUUACCAAAGGCAAACCUGGAAAGAACACUGGACGUCCGAGAUACGAUCUAACCCAUGACUAAACAUGAUCAGGACAUUGCAAUUGAAAUUUACAGGUUCUGCAACGUAAAUAUACAUAACCUCAAGAAGGGGGAGUCGUCGGGAAAACUUCGGAGCUCAGCUGAAGGUCAUCAAGCUAAUUGCAGUUGCAGAUUCACUUCCAGAAAGACCAACAGCUGAUAAAAGCUCUCAGACACAUUGCAAAAGCCAAACAUUUAAGUACCGAUCACUAACCCACAAACAGUCUUUUGCUCUCAUUGGCGGGGCACAAUCGCGCUCUCUUCGGCAGGUGCGGAGUCGGCAGCAGGUGAUUUUUUCACAAGGGACUUGGGAAUGUCGAGGUAGUCUUGAGGACAUCGCUGUUGAGGGUGCAACAGUAGCAUGCACAUGUGACGAAAGAGGAUGCGUGUGAGGCCCUGACCGCUCUCAUGGAUGUGGCCUUCAUAUUCACUCACGUGUUCAAGCGCAUCGACGAGGGCAUCAUACACCUGCUGCGGGCAAUUAUCUGGUCCAGGCUUGUCGUGGAGGUAGAUGACAUCCAGAGUGAAGAGCUUUUGGUUAACUGGCCACUGGUGCUGAGGCUGUAUGGAUGAUCUGCAGUAUAUGAGAAUCUGAUGCAACAGAAACACCGUAGCCACAUUAGAUCUCGAUAAGAAGGAAAAGCCUUAAUAUCGCUAGUACAAAUAAUGUUCCAAAAGGGACAAAAAGAAGAGAAUGAGUCUUCCUAAUCUUUUCUCAUAGGAGGUGAUAAAAAAAAAGACGUGAGCUUAAAUGGUGGCAGAAAGAAAUCUAGCAGUUUAACAGACUAUGGCACUAACAAACAAGAAAAAAAGUUUUCGUAGACAUUUGGGCAACUUACUAGACUGCAAAGCAACUCUAUGCUACAAAUUAAUAGAAGGGAAACUGAUAUACAUGCCUAGGCAUUGAUUAAGCAAGAGGAUAAGCACCUAUUGCUUGGUACAAUCACCAGCCAUCACUUACCACCCUGAAAAUUCUAUUUUGCAUGCGAGAUUUCUUAGCUUCAUGAGCCGCGAUUCGGAAUAGCUGCGUUAAAUCUGCAUGACCACAAGCUGAGGUGGCCGAAAGACUCCGAAUUGCAGCAGCUGCAGACUCUACAUCACUGCUGAACUCCUUACGGAGCUUCAAAAUCAAAAACAAGGGAAAAAGAUCAAACAAGUAAUCAUAUAUGUAAUAAUAAACAAAGGAUUUGACAAUUCAUUGCCAGCUUUGUCUUGCUUUGGCUACAUGCUUGAUCUACUUAAUAGUUACUUUGAAUGGAUACUGCAUCUUGAGUUAUGUAAGGGAUACUUGCAACAAUAUCGCAUAGCACUCCAAAACACAGCCAGGUCACAAUGUCAUGGCUGGGUUAAAAGCAGCUCUGUGUUAAAAGUAGAGCCUUAUUAGUAACUGCACAAUCUAAUUUUGGGCUUCAUUAUCAUUAUUUCAAGCAUGGCAUACAAGUACGAAAUGGCUCUCCCUCUCAUCAAUCAAACACCCCAGCUCCCUGAGGGUAUUCUAAUAUAAAUUAGCUACAGCACUUCAUCCCUCGGCAGCAGUAGCGUUCACCAUUUUGAUAUCAUAAUUUGGUAAUUCAUUUCACCUCUGCACAUUCCCUGACAAGAGAACAGCUAAAUACACAGACAUGAAUGGUCAGACCAGAAUGCUUUCUAACAAGGAUCAGCGGUACAAACAGGAACCAAGUACUAUCCAAUGGAGGCAUUCUGGGGUGUUGGGUAUUUUUCUAUGAUUCUGUAGGCAUGGGUUUUCAUCUGGCUCAAAAUAUGCAGAACAUGCGAUCACAAACAUUAGUGUUUCCAUUCAAGAACUUCUCAGUUUGAGUGUACAAAGAGUUUAUGCAUGUGACGUCCAAAAUUGAGCAAGAACGUCAGUCAUCCAUGAGAAACAUAAAAUCGUGAAAUCCUAUGAUCACACCAUAUAACGCAAUCUACCAAAAUUCAUUGUAAAAACAGCAUCAAGCAAGCACGUUUACACUCCUUGUCAUGAAAAAUUAGCUAAAAGGAGGGCAAGCCUCGAGUCCAAUCCAAAAGAAAUUUUCAGUGGCUGCAGGGAAUCGGGGGUUCUAUCACGAAGUCAUUUCUGCUUCCUAGCAACUAGCGUUGCUCCAAUAUGCUAGCAAUCGAAAGAAGAAUUGGAUGGGGAGCACAAGCAAUCGAAACCUGAAUUUUCUAAGAAGUUGCCAAUGGAUACACUCCCACACCUCUGCAACUCCAUCAUUCUCCCACUUCCAAUACGGAAGAUGUAUUUUACUCUACUGAUCUAGUGACCUUCAACUCCGAAACUACAUUGAGCAAAUCACCUCAUUCUAGAGGGAAUCAAUUCAACCCUAAAACGCACCAAAACACCACCAUCAGGGACCCAUUUCGCAGACGAAAGUCAAAGCACGCCACAGAACCAAACCCCAGCGAUCGCCAAAACUCUCGGGAACGCAACCAAGCACCCAUUUUUCCAAAUUCGAAAACUAUAUGGAGCAAAUCACCUCAUCCCAGAGCGAACCAAUUCGACCCUAAAACGCACCGAAACACCACCAUUAGGGUCCCAUUUCGCAGGCCAAAAUCAAAGCACGCCACAGAACCAAACCCCAGCAAUCGCCGCAACUCUAGGGAACGCAAUCAAGAUCCCAUUUUUCCGAAAAAUCAGCAGGAGGGGGGCGUACCCAGGCAGCGGAUUUGGAGAGGGUGGCGAAGGCGAAGCGGUGGUCGGGGUUGAUGGCGAGCUUGGAGUGGACGAAGAGGAGGAGGGACUGCUUGAUGGCGUCGAGGCGGGCGAAGGGGCGGCCGCCGGGGCCCGUCACCUUCAUCUCGACCAGGGACUCCGCGUCGACGUCGACGCAGAAGAGGAUGUCCUCGCUGCUGAUCCGCGCCGGGUUCAGCACGUAGCGCGGCGCCGCCGCCACCGCCGCCGCGUCUCCCUCCACUCCCUCCAUCAUCAUCACUCUCGUCUCGCUCUCGCUCGCGGCUCGACUGAGAAUCGCGAUCGCUCGAUUUCGGAGGCGCCGCAGUGACAUGGGAGUAUGCUUCCGGUGUCGUAUCUGACACGUGGCGCGCUUUUAUUAUUUGACUUCUGAUUAUAUGUGUGGAUCGGAUUGGAUACGAGUCGGGUCUGAUCCGAUCCAAGUUAACCAAUUUGACCCGCAAUGCAAAUUUAGUGAAAUAUAUUUGACCCACUCUUUCAAAUCUAGUGAAAAGUUGUAAGUAAAUUGAUAGGAAAGCAUGGGAUGAGCGAGAGUGAGAAAGUAUGAAGAAAGAGUUAUAAAGAUGGGUAAAUCUUGUUCUAUGCUUGAUUAUAGGUAAAUUGUAAACCUAUUUAACAUUCAUAUUAUUUUGCCAUUAUAAACUCAUUUAUGGCUCAUUUACUAAAUAUAUUAACUCAUAUAAUAAAAAAAGCCCGUCAAAUAUGGGUUAAGGAUUUGGUGUAUGAUAAAUUUUGACAGGUCUACUUUUAAUAAAAAUAUAUUAAUUGUUAAUACAAAAAAAGACCAACCAUUGUUCGACAACUUAAUCGAUAGAAUUCUUCAUAAUUAAGAUGUUAAUAGGAGCAUAAGCUAAUUACUUGGACUGUGCUUGCUUCAACUUUUGGGGGAAAGUUUCUGAAAAAAUAUAAAGGACUUUAUACUAAAAUGUUUUUCAAAAUACAAAUAAUGUUUGAUAAAUUGUAAUUUAAAAGUGUAUUAAGAAACAAUUUUGCUUGAAAUGAUAUUUGAAAAAUCAUGUUUUUUAAAGGACUUUUACUAUGCUAACCAAAAAAAAGGACUUUUGCUAUAUAUAUAUUUAUAAAAAAAAAAGCCUCAAACAAGCAAAUGGCUCAGCGGCCGAUGGGUCAAUUGAGCCAGAUUUGGCAUCGACUAUUACCAAGGUCAUCGAGGUAGUGCGAUCUCUAGGGAGGACAUUUAUGGAAUUAUGAAAGUUUAUCAAUAGCAAAAUUAAAAAGAAAAAAAAUGUAUUAACAUUCCAAAAAUACGCAAAACCCAAAGUAGCUCUGGAUAAGCCUUAGGUUAAAGGCCUUUAGAGUUUACGUCUUCCCAAAGCUCUCCAAAAAAUUUGCCAAGCACCAUUUGCAAAAAUCCAAUUUUAGUCAACAGAGAUGUCAACACUAAGUGCUAUAGCAAAUAGUCGAAAAAUGAGGGAGAGCAAGGGCGCAUUUAGCAACUUGUCAUAUAGUAAUUGAUUCUAUAUCUUUAUUUAUGGGAAUAGAUUUGGAACAAAAUUCGUCUAGUAAAUUUUUUGUUCCUAAGAACAUCUGUUUGAUAAAUUUUUUAUUCUCGAGAAUAGAUUUGUAACAUAAUCAAUGAGUAAAAAAAAAAUUACUUCUUUAUUUCGAGAAACAAUUCCAAAAUCAAACCAAUCUAUUUUUUCUCUUCUUUUUUUAUUGUUCUUUUUCCUUCUCUCUUCUUCUUCAAAUGUUGCUGUUGCGGUCCACCAUUGAUUGCCAAUGAUUGGUUGGGCAAGGUCGAUGAAGCUCACCAAUGGCUUGGUAAGCCUCCAGCAAGCUCACUGGGCCUCGCCCAACCAAGGCUCAAUUGAAGAGGUUGCUGAUUCUUGUCUAGCCAAUUGCUGAUCAUCCCGAGGCUAACAAUUGACCAAAGCUUGAAGAAAAAGAGAAGAAAAAAAAGUAAUGAAAUUAUUAAAAAUUCAAAAGAAAAUUGUUUGGAUUAAAAAUUUUGAGGACGUACCAAACGUAAUUCUAUUUCAGGAAUAUAAAUUUUGGACAAUUAUCAGAUGUCUUCAAAUGCUUAAAAAUUGUUCACGAGAACAAAAUAAAAAAGAAUCAUUGAUAAUAAAUUGUUCUCGAGAACAAAAUGGUUACUAAACACACCCCAAGUGAGCAACUCUGUCCACAAGAAAAAAAGCACAUCAGGUAGUGAAGUCAAUAACCUUGGAUGUUGUAACCAUAUGUAGAUGGAGCCACAGAGGGCAUUUUUUUAAUUCUUAGUAACCAUUGGUGUUAUUGUCAAAUGGAGUUAUAAAUGUCUAUCUUGUAUUUUUUGAGAAGGACCGCCAAUCAAUUUAAGAACGUGUUGUUCAUUUUUACUUUGAACAUAUUUUACUCUUCCAAAUAUAACUUACAAUUGCCCUCAAUAUUUGUACUUUUUAAUUUUUUAUCAUUUAUAUUCCUGUCCAAAAAUCAACAAAAGACCAUUCACAUCAUCUAAUGAUUCAAAGCGAUCCAUCCAUAUUUUUUAAGGGUAUUUUACCCUUUACGGUGAAACAUAUAAAAUUACGUGAAAAUGUUUGGAUGAAAGCAAUUUUCCUCCUCUCCAGCACGGUAUCAACUGAUCUCGAAUAUCAAGUAAAGCGAACGUUGUUGAAAUCUCUUACCAGGAAUCCUUAGUGGGGUGACGAGCUGCACAACCCCAAACGGAAACAACAUUGGAGGAGUCUGACCUCGAAGUUUCUAAUGAUGAAUUCAUGACUGCUCCAUCAAUUGGCUUCAAGGAUGUUCCAGUAUUUAAGGUAAGUAUGGAAGAGAAGGAAAGGUUACGUCAACCUUGGCGACGGUCACUAAUUAUAAAAGUGCUGGGUCAAAUGCUUGGCUACAAUCUCAUUUAUAAGAAGCUCUUGCAACUUUAUUCCCCAAAAGAGAAUUAGUUAUGAUCGAUCUAGCAAAUGAUUUCUUCAUUGCCAAAUUCUCCCUGCUGGAGGACUACCAUUUUGUGCUAAGGGAAGGUCCUUGGAUGAUAUUUGAUCAUUAUCUAGCCAUUCGAAAAUGGGAACCCAACUUUGAUCCUACUGAGGCUAAGAUUGAUCGGGUCACGGCUUGGGUUAGGUUUCCUAAUAUCUCCAUUGAGUAUUUUGAUGAGGCCUUUCUCAUGCGACUUGGUUUGUUAAUCGGAAAGCCGUUGCGAGUAGAUUCUACAAUAGUUUUAGCUACAAGGGGUAAAUUUUCUCGCCUUGUGGUGAAGUUGACUUAACACACCCCUUAAUACCUUGGAUUUUCGUUGACGGCAAAUUAAGAUGCGUGGAGUAUGAAGGCAGUCAUCUGAUUUGUUUUAAAUGUGGAUAUUAUAGCCAUGUUUUAGAUGAAUGUGGACCUACGAGAAAGAAACUCUCAGAACGCUUUGUUGCCUGAUUUCCUUGCCGCCAACUUGACAAAACCUCAAAAAGGGGAUAGAGAACUUAUGCAAAAAUUUGGUCCUUGGAUGGUUAUGUAGAAAACUUGAAGGGGCAGACAACAACAAGUGAAGGAAGUACCGAUUGAUAGUCGGAAGGAAGGUGGAGAUUCAGUUGUGCCAAGAUCUCGAUUCUUAGUGCUACCUCAAGAAAAUGUAAGGUUUUGCAAGGUCCCCCCAGUAGGAGGUAAAUGCUACGAAGGAAGUGAACUCCUCUAGAGCUAAACAUAAGAAGAAAGGCAAAGUUAUAAACCUAGAACAACAAGGAUUAUCUACUAAAGAUAAGAAGAAAGGCAAAUUAUAAACUUAGAACAACAAGGGUUAUCUACUGAAGAAGAUAAUUUGGCACAAUCUCAGCUUCACGAGCAAACGUUUGGAGAUGAUCAGGGUGGCGCCUCCACUCGGAAUAAGUCCAACUUGGCACCAAGCAACUCGUUGAUUCCAUAUUCUGCUACUUUGAGGUAUCCCACUGGCCAUGUCUUAAACAUAGUGCUCUCCUUAAGCCCAAAUGUGCCCCUUUCUUCGAAGGAUGUUAUUUCCUCAUUACCUAAACCACCUGAUGAUUAUGGUAGUAAUUGGGGCACGAUUUCUUCUAUUAAUUCUUGUUUGUCAAAGGUGCCAGACACCUUUGAUGACAUUUUAGUCAAAAACUAGUGGAGACCUUGCAAUGUCAAAUGAUCUGAUGCUAGAAGACUCUAUCUAGGUAAGGUACUCUUCUUUUCUUUCGAAGUUUCUAUUAAAAUGCGUUUGUUAAUGUGGAAAUGUUAAGGAGAGGGGAACAACAAGUUCUUAGUGGUUGCUAAGGACUUGAUCCGUGUGCACAAAAUUCGGGUAUUUAUUGUUGUAGAAUCGAGAGUAAGUGAAGUCCAAGCUACAAAAAUAAUAAAGAAGCUUGGCUUUGUUAAUCAUAUUCUUGUUGAGGUUCAAGGCUUUUCGCAAGGAAUAUGGCUGUUAUGGCAUGACACUUCCUUUACUAUGGAAGUAGAACAAAUUGACCCUCAAUUUAUUCAUGUCUAGCUGAGAGAGAGGGGCAAUCGAAUCUGGUGGUUAAUUGCUGUCUAUGCCAAACCAAAUGAACUUGCUAAGGCACAGUUGAGAAGUCAGCUUGAACAAAUAGCCACUGCAAUGACAGAUCCUUGGAUGGUCACUGGUGAUUUUAAUGACAUUGUGUUCCAUGAUGAAAAGAAAGGGAGGCACCAAUCAACGUUGCAAAAUGCAUUCGAUUCAGAGAAUGGAUUGAUAGAUAUCACUUCAUUGAUCUUGGUUGGGUAGGUAUGAAAUUUACAUGGCAGUGACCCGAGUUGAAUGGUUAUAACCAGGUAUUCAUGUGCCUUAAUAGAGACUGUGUAACCUUUUCUGGAGAGUGCUGUUUGCUGAAGCUACAGUACAAGUACUUCCACGAGUGCGAGGACUCCUCAAUUAAAUUGGCCCUUUCAUUUCGAAGCAGCUUGGUUAACGCAUUCUUCAUUUAAUGAUUUUGCGCAAAUCCAUUGGAAUGAUGCUUUGCCAAUUGAUGCUGCCUUAACCUAAUUCCAAAAUAAACUUAAGGAGUGGAACCAACACUUUUUUGGAGGCAUCCAAAAGGCAUUGGAGGUACGUCCUAAUCCUUUCUUGGUGAAUCUUGAAGCAAAGUUGCCAAAAAGAGUUUGUUGAUAUCUCAGUUCAGGAAGAAAUCCAAUGGUACCGAAAAUCAAGAUAUAAGUGGCUGUAGUUUGGGGAUGAAAACACUAAGUUUUUCCACUCUACUACAAUCAUUCGACGUCGAAGGAAUAAAAUUGAUGCACUAAAGACCUCUAGUGGAGAAUGGGUGUCUAACCAAGAGGAAUUGAAAAGUAUUAUGGUGGAUUUUUAUAGAAAUCUCUUCACAAAAGAUGACCCGUCCUACUUCACCAAAAAAAAAAGAAAAGAUGACCCGUCCUCAGUCGUGCUCUCACAAUCUCAAGGCUUUCAAGUCUUGAAUUCCUUGCAAGCUUCAGGUCUGGCUAGAACCGUUGACAAGGAAGAAGUCGACAGAGCACUUUCUUAUAAAGCACCUAGGCCAGAUGGUUUUCAAGUAGUCUUUUUUUUGGUUCCAGCAUCAAUGGCAUCUGGUGAGCAACUAUUUAACCCAUUUUUUUUUAUUGAUGCUUGGUCAGGAAAUUGUAACUGGGUUAAGAUUAACAAAACACUCCUAGUGUUGGUUCUGAAAGUGCAGCAAUCAGAGACAAUCAACAAUUUUCGAUCAAUUAGUUUCUCAAAGUGAUCAUCAAUUAGUUUGUCAAAGUGAUCAUCAACCAUUUAAAGGAUAUUCUACCACAACUUGUCUUGCCUAAGCAAACUAGUUUUGUUCCCAAUAGAGUUAUUCAGGAUAAUAUUAUUAUUGUACAAGAAGCAAUUCACUCAAUGAGCAAAUCCAAAGGGAAAUGAGGCUACAUGACUCAAAAAUUGAUUCGGAGAAAGUGUAUGAUCAACUGAAAUGGUCCUUCAUUGAGGAAACUCUCCGCUCGACAGGUAUUCCAAACUCAUUGGUUCAACUUAUUAUGAAAUGCAUCACCUCUUCUUUCGUGCAGAUUUUGUGGAAUGGGGAGACUAUGGAGGCCUUCUUGCCAAAGGGAAAUACGUCAAGUGAACUCAAAAUGGUAGAAACCUUUUUGUUUUGGACGGAGAGGACCGCAAAUAUCUCACUUAAUGUCUGCAGAUGAGCUUCUGCUAUUGGUAGAAGCCUCAACAAAACAGAUGAAUGUCAUCCUAGAGUGCUUGGAGGAUUUCUGUCAAAGAUCAGGCCAGAUUGUCAUUAAGGCUAAAACCAAACUUUUCUGCUCGAAGGAUACUUCUCUAGGGCUGAAAUGAAUCUUAAGCAACACAUUUGACUUUGUCAUAUAUUCAGAUUUAGGCAAAAAUUCUGGGUGUGCCUUUGAUUCAUGGAAGAACUUCUUCAAGGCAUUUUCAAUCAUCAUUAGAGAAGACAACAAACUAACUUAGUAUAUGGAAGUCGGUUAGCUCGUCAAUGGUAGGACGCAUCACGUUAACUCAAUCUGCAAUCAUGUCUAUACCUACAUAUCAAAUGCAAUGUUCUAAAGUCUUAACUCAUGUUUGUCAACAGAUUGAGAAAGGUUGUCGCGCUUUCAUUUGGGGAGAUACUAGAGACAAGCGUUGCAUACACCUUCUGAAUUAGAAGACUGUUUGUAAGCCUAAAAAUUGCGGUGGUCUUGGUCUUAGACCCCUUGAAGUGACUAAUCAAGGUUUCUUGAUAAAAGUAGCAUGGGGCUUCCAGACGCAACCCCACUCUUUAUGGUUAGAGGUUUUGUGUGCUAAAUAUUGUUCACAACUGGGGAAUAUAUAUAUAUAUAUUUUUGGGUGACCGGGAACUGCUGUAUAGCCGGCAGCCGGCUACGUAAACCCGGGGCGGCACUGCAGGGGCCCACCUCCCACGACGUCGCAGGUAAGGCGCGCAAUGCGAACGUCGGGAAUCGAACCUUCCCCCUUUCGCAAUUAGAGGGGGAAAGGCCCAAGCCAGCGCGCCCACAAGCGGGGUGGGUCACAAUUGGGGAAUUUGUUGUUGCUAAACUUGGUGAUUUGUUGUUAGGGAAAGAAAUUAUUAAUGUUUGGCCAACUUUAGAUGAAGGAACGUUGUGGAGCUUGAGAAAGGGAGAAUAUGUAAGUUUUUGGAAAGACGGAUGGAUUCUAGGGUUGGAGCCACUUAUCAACAUAGUUUCUACCCACCUACCUCCAUUUGAGAUGGACAAAAAACUUCGUGAAUAUGUAUGGAAUGAGAAUUGGAACUUUUCGCUUUUUCAACGAAUCUUACUAGAAGAUGUAAUCCUUAGAAUUCGGGCUAUCAAACUUCUGUUUGCAUUUGAUGGGAAAGAUACUCUAUUGUGGGAAGGUAAUAGCAGUGGAUCUUUCUUCAUUAAGUCAGCUUGUGAAAUUUUCACAGGGAUCAACACUUAAGAAAUUGAUAGGAUAUGACCCCUAUACGGAAAUUGAGAGGACCUCAACGUAAUAGAACCUUUCCUUGGCUAGUGGUGCAUAAGCAUUUAUAAACCAAUGAAUUGAAGACGUCUAGCAAUCUAGGAGGUAAUUCUUAUUGUCCACAUUGUGANNNNNNNNNNNNNNNNNNNNNNNNNNNNNNNNNNNNNNNNNNNNNNNNNNNNNNNNNNNNNNNNNNNNNNNNNNNNNNNNNNNNNNNNNNNNNNNNNNNNNNNNNNNNNNNNNNNNNNNNNNNNNNNNNNNNNNNNNNNNNNNNNNNNNNNNNNNNNNNNNNNNNNNNNNNNNNNNNNNNNNNNNNNNNNNNNNNNNNNNNNNNNNNNNNNNNNNNNNNNNNNNNNNNNNNNNNNNNNNNNNNNNNNNNNNNNNNNNNNNNNNNNNNNNNNGAAGGAAAUCAUUCCUUCACCAUGAUCAACUUGUCUACAAGUGGAUCACAUACUUCUCCCAUUAUGGUUGCUUGGGAUCCUCCUCCACCGGGAUGGAUUAAAUUGAAAACAGAUAGAGCAUUUAAAGGUAAUCCUGGACUUGCAGGAGUUGGAGGAUUAUUCUGAAAUGAAGAGGGAGACUGGUUGGGCUGUUUUACCUCUUUUAUCGGAAUAUAUUCGUCUUUACAAGCUAAACUAUGGGCAUUAUGGAUGGAACUUACCAUUGUAAAGCAACAAGGUUUCCACAAACUCAUCAUUGAGAUGGACUCCAAAAUUAUUAUUGAACUUGUUAACCCAAAGAGAAUAGUAGAUACACUGGUCCAACACUAUUUAAGGAUAUUAGAAGGCUAUUAAGCUCCCAUUUUGAGUUCAGAAUUCAUUAUAUUUUUCGAGAAGGCAAUCAACUUGUUGAUAUGCUUGCUAAUGUUGGCAUAGCGAAACGAUUGAAUACUACGUUUUACUUGCAACCUCCUAAAGACUUAUCUUAUAUUUUGCUUAGUGAUAAAAUUGGCAUUAUAGAUUUAAGAUGUUAAUUUUUGUUAGUUUUGUACCCAAAAAAAAUCCCACCUACUUUGGUGUGGACAAUCCAUGCGGCCCGCCACGUCUGUCAUUGAUUGUGGGGGAAAGAGAGGAGAAAAUAUUGGGUGGGUUUUACCCUCCAGGUAGGCUAGUGUGUAUCACCAUACAAAAGUCGACACGUGACAAAUUUGGGCCCACUUGUCAGCGCCCACUCUUUCCAUUAACUCCGUCUCUCUCCCAUUUACUCUCUCUUCUCCCCUCCGUUUCUCUCCCUCCUCUCUCCACUUCUCUUUUCUUUUUUCUUAGGUCUGCCAUGACUCGAGCUCGAGUCGGCUCAUGGCCGCUUCAGAACCGAUUUCGGAUCAACGCGAACUCUCUCCGUCUCCGAAUCGGAACCGCCGGAAGAUCCAUCGCGAGCGCUCCUCCUGCCGCUCCUCUUCUCAUCCUUCCUCGACCUACUCCGCUCCUUCUCUCUAUCCACGCAUCCUCUCUCCUUCUUCCUACCGCUACUGCUGCUACCACCGCCGCUCCUCUCUCUCCUCCUAUGCUUCUCCCUCCUAGAAUCGCUCCGCUCCUUCCGUCGCUAGUGCCGCCGCCGCCGCCGGGAGGAUUCCUCCGAGGCAUCGAUUCCAACUCCGUUGUGGGCAGCUGCUCGGACACUGUCCCCUCCAAGCUUACGACGCCAGCUCCACCACCACCUACAUUACUUCCAUCUCCGACACUGUCCCCUCCAUUGCCUUCCACCACUUCCCCGCCAAAACACUCCCCCCGGACUUCUCCACCACAUCCCCCACCGUGAGACCCUCGCCCUCGAGCUCCUUCGCCUCAACAACCCCAACAUCCAUCGCGCCCUCACCUCUAUCUCCAGAACCAUGUCGUUCACGGCCUCAUCAUCGACUUCUUCUGCGUCGCUGCUGUUGCUGUUGCGCGUGAGCUCAACAUCCCCUGCUACUACUUCUUCACUUCGGGGGCCGGUUUCCUCAACUUAUUCCUAUACGUCCCAACUCUUCACGACAAGUUUGCCAAAAGCUUAAAAAGACUUUGCCACCCCCAUAGAUGUCCUCGGCACACCGCCAAUACCGCCCUCCGAUGUUGCAGAUCCGAUGCAGGAUCGCUACGAUGAGGCCCACAAGGGCUUCUUGGAAUCAUCCCCGAAGAUGCAGACUUCAGUCGGGAUCCCACCGCUUUACUGCAUCAGGCCACUGAUCUCGAGCAGAGGAGACGCCGCCGGUGGAUCUCCAGAUUGUCUCACACGGCUGGACUCGCAGCCAAAAGGGAGCGUCGUGUUCUUGUGUUUCGGGAGCUUGGGCAUCUUCUCGGUGGAACAGCUGGGGGAUACUCGAUCGAAGAUGCCCGAAGAAGAAGACUUCCUCCCUCGCUUUCUUUUCUUCUUUCUUCUCUACGCAGUAUAGCUAAGAACCGNNNNNNNNNNNNNNNNNNNNNNNNNNNNNNNNNNNNNNNNNNNNNNNNNNNNNNNNNNNNNNNNNNNNNNNNNNNNNNNNNNNNNNNNNNNNNNNNNNNNNNNNNNNNNNNNNNNNNNNNNNNNNNNNNNNNNNNNNNNNNNNNNNNNNNNNNNNNNNNNNNNNNNNNNNNNNNNNNNNNNNNNNNNNNNNNNNNNNNNNNNNNNNNNNNNNNNNNNNNNNNNNNNNNNNNNNNNNNNNNNNNNNNNNNNNNNNNNNNNNNNNNNNNNNNNNNNNNNNNNNNNNNNNNNNNNNNNNNNNNNNNNNNNNNNNNNNNNNNNNNNNNNNNNNNNNNNNNNNNNNNNNNNNNNNNNNNNNNNNNNNNNNNNNNNNNNNNNNNNNNNNNNNNNNNNNNNNNNNNNNNNNNNNNNNNNNNNNNNNNNNNNNNNNNNNNNNNNNNNNNNNNNNNNNNNNNNNNNNNNNNNNNNNNNNNNNNNNNNNNNNNNNNNNNNNNNNNNNNNNNNNNNNNNNNNNNNNNNNNNNNNNNNNNNNNNNNNNNNNNNNNNNNNNNNNNNNNNNNNNNNNGUAAAUGUGAGAAGAUACGGGGGAUUAAGGUUUAAUCUCGAAAGAAAAAAUUUAGUAGAACUCAAAUUCAAGCUCUGUUAUUAGAUGUCAAGGACUCUUGCACUCCUCCCCAGUACAAAUUACGUGAAAAGAAGAAAAAAAUUAAAAAACUGAGACAUUUGGUGGAAUUCGAAAGUGUUGCAUAUAAUAAUUAACGUCAAUUGGACCAUGUCGGAAAGAAAGUGAGAGAGUAAACGAGCAGUCCUCGCAAGGCGUAGAGGACCUAAUCAUAACUUAACUAAAAAUUCGUAAGGCCAAUCUUUACUUAAUUUUUUUUUAAUAUUUUUUUUUGGGGUAAGAAUCUUGAAUUUAGUUGAGUCUUUUUUUCACUAUCCAAGUCAAGAUGAGGUCUGGUUUACUCAAGUGGCCUCCCUUUCAACAUAAAAUUCCAACAUAUAAAUGGGAGGUGGGGGUUCGAAUCCCCAUCUUCUCAAGGGAGUUUGGAGUGGGGGCAAAUUAGUUUCAAAAGUGGAUUUCGACUCCCAUACCCUACAAGACAAGACAAAAGAGUAAGAGUUAGAAUAUGAAUAGAAUAGAACUGAUAAAAAAAAAAGUCAAGGGUCGGACAAAAAGAAAAAGUCGUGAUGGGCGCGGAUCCCAGGAGGAAAAUUACGAAGGGCGUGAUGAGUUGUGGGACAUCACCCCCUAUCUAGUGGGGUUCGCACGUCAAAUGGUGCACGAAACCAGGGUGAAUAGCGUUGCCUAUCUAGUGGGGUUCACACGUCAAAUGGUGUACGAAACCAGGGUGAAUAGCGUUGCCCACGGGCAAUCACAACACGAUAAGCGGAAUAAGGUAGAAAGGCUAUGAUAGGAUGAGCAGCUGCAGGCUAGCGGUGUUAUGUUGUUUGAAAUAAUUGGCGGAUGAGAGAUGUCUGAAAGCAAUAUGCAAGCUCAAGCAUGGUCUUGCUAUGUGGGAAUCCAUGUUUGGUCGAUGUGCCUAGAGUACAAUAGUCAAUGUGAGGUUGCAACAUGUCAUGAUGACAUAAACUCACAAGGAUGCUAAUUGACAUGAAAAUGGGUAAUUAGCUGUAAGUAAAGAAUGAACAACAAAACGGCGGUCCAACUUGGCCUAAAGUAGGAUGUUCGGCUUCUUUAUAGAAUGGGAAAAAUUCAUCUUAGCGGUAGCUUUGUUUUACUACAAGAUUCAUAGCAUAGGUUUCCAAAAUCUUCUAAGAGAUAUGACUUGUGAUCAUAUAAUAAUCUAUAAUAUUUUCGAAGCAUAGCUAUGAAAGACUAUUUCAUGGCAAUAUAGACACUUUUUGGGUAUGUAACAUACCCGGUGGAACUAAAAUUAGGGUUAACUCUUCCAUCGGUGUCUAAUUGUAGCAGGAGAAAGUAUAGGAUUAGGCGCUAAACAUGAGGGUUGACUUUAGGCAUGCUAUUGACUUAACAAAGUAGGCUCACUUUCAGAUGUUUUCCAUUAUUUGGAAAAAACCAAAAAGGUAACCAAAUGCCCUAGCUUAUCUUUAAAGCUCGCAUCUUUGUCAAACUAAUAUUUAACUGUCCCAGAAUUGUCAAUUAAACUCAUGUUCAUGCAAGAGAAUUAAAGUAAGAUUAUUUGUCCCAACGAAUUCGGUGCUGUAUAUCACGGUCAAACCUUAACAUGUGUAUGAAUGACUAUGACAUCACCCCUUAUUUGGCUUCUAUAAAGUAGGAAGCAAGUAGGAAGCAAGUCGGAAGACGCGAUAUUUUAGGGGGCGGUGUCCGCAUCUUCGUUGAGGAUAUUGUCGCUGCCCCCCUCUUUUUUCUGGUCGAACUGUUGCUUGCUUGCUUGUUGCCUGCUGUUUUGUCUUUUAUUUGGGAGUGACAUCCUUAUGUCAAGAUUGAAUGGAGAUUGGAGGGAAAAAGGAUGAUUAAAAGAGAAGAUUAGAGAACAAAACCUAAUCUUCACGUGAUGCGUCAGAACCCGAAUUAUGGGGAGAAUUCUGCAUUCAAGCAAAUUAAAUUUCACCAAGUCACCACGUGACCCAAACGCCAACCAUUCCAACCUUUCCCUCCCUCCCUCCCUUCUCUAUUUAAUAAUUCCUAUGAGCACUGCUUAAAUCCUACACUAUUUCCUCUCUGGCGCUCACUCUCAGUCUGAGUUUCUACAUUAAUGUUAACCCCACUUCCAGGCUCCUGGCCAUGGCCGACGGCAGCCACCAACACGACAACGCUGCUGCUUGCCACCACCACCACCCUGGCAUCUCCUAUGCCGCCAGCUUCUUCUGGGUCCCCUUCGGCCAAUUCUCCUUCGUCUUGGUCCACCAUAUUGACGAAGCACAUGGCAGCAGUGGCGGCGGCGGUUUUGGUGCUGGCGCUGGUGCUGGUUGUGGUGCUGAAAUACUGUCUAAAUAGGAAGAACCGGAGAAUGCAGCUUCGCUCUGCAUCCCCUAACAUUCCUCUCGGUUCCCCCAUGUGCCAUUUUACUUUUGAACAAGUGCAUGAGUUCACCAGCCACUUCGCAGAGAGAAAUCUACUCGGACGAGGUGGUUAUGGGUGUGUGUACCGCGGAGUCCUUCCCAACGGGGAAGAGGUAGCAGUGAAGCGACUGGACGUGGGGAGCAGACAGGGAGAGAGUGAGCUUCUGAAUGAGGUUGGAAAAAUAAGCCGAGUUCAUCACAAGCAUGUCGUGUCUUUGGUUGGAUACUGCACAUAGGGGUCCGAGCGCAUCCUCGUGUAUGAGUAUGUGCCUAACGGGUCCUUGGAGUCACACUUACGUGGUUAGUUCGCAUUUUCAGUACCAAUUCAUGCUGCGAGCUUUUAUGUUGCCCCCUCUUUCUUUAUUAGUCUUUUUUUGGCGUCUGAUUUAGCAUUUGGGGCUAUGUGAAAAAAAGAAAGGGAACACUAAUCAGAGAACUUGGCGCCUUUUGUGUUUCAUGGAAAGGAUGCUGAUGGAAAGUGAUCACUGCAGGAGGUCGACAGCCAACCCUAGCUUGGGAGGCCAGAAUGGGAGUUGCUGUUGGCUCUGCCAAAGGAUUGGCAUAUCUUCACGAGGAUUGUAAGUUUCAGAUGUAGUUUUGCCGUUCAUCUUUAUUGGAUUAAUAGUUAAUUUAAAACUGUGAAUCAUAGAGCUUUGCUCUUGUAUAUAUGAGAAACUUUCGUUUUGCAGGUCAUCCGACAAUCAUACAUCAUGAUNNNNNNNNNNNNNNNNNNNNNNNNNNNNNNNNNNNNNNNNNNNNNNNNNNNNNNNNNNNNNNNNNNNNNNNNNNNNNNNNNNNNNNNNNNNNNNNNNNNNAAAGGUAAAAACAAACUUAUUUGAUAAAUUUAAGAAUGGAAAGUUGAUAGUUCCAACCUCAGUUGCUUAACUCUCGGAGCAAGUAGAUUGCUGAAUACCGAAUGCUUGUUUCUCAGAUUGCAGAUUUCGGACUUGCAAAAUCGGCUUCUGAAUUGAAUGAGGGUGAAUCUAGGCCAGUGGGCACCUUUGGGUAAAGAUUUGCUGCAUUUGUAUUUUGAUUCGGAGGACAGGGAUGUGAGCUGGUUAUUAACCGGUCUUUAGAUGUUUCCAAAUGAUUGUAAAAUAAGCCAUUGCCUGCUAGUUCACCUCGUGCUUUAUUUGUUGAAUCACAGUUUUCUGGGUACUUUCAUGGUUUUUCCUUUUUCUUGGGAGGUACUCUUUAUGGCUUGACUAGUUCAAUCAUGUUGAAGCACAGUUUAUGUUCUUCCCUGCAGGUAUGUUGCUCCAGAAUACGCCUCAAGUGGGGAACUAACCCCAAAGUUAGAUACUUUCUCCUUCGGGGUCGUGCUCUUGGAAUUGAUUACUGGUCGCAAACCUGUGGGUUCAACACAUAAUUCUUUGGAUGAUAAUCUGGUUUAUUCGGUAAGUUGGGCAAUUCUCAUGUUCACAAUUGUAGCGCAAGCUACUUUACUGUGGGAUUCAGAAUUUGAUGUUUUUCACUCGUCAAAGUCGCAAUACUUAAAUAGACAUUAUCAUGAUUUACAGAUGAGGCCUCAUCUCACCCGACCUAUCAGAGUGGCAAACUUAGACUCUCGUUGAUUCUAGGCUGCAGAACAAUUAUAACCCCAUUGAGAUGGCUCGAAUGAUGGCCUAAGCUGCUGCUUGCGUGCGUGAAUCGGUGCAGUGUCGACCAAAAAUGAGUCUGGUAAUAUUUCAGUAGCCGGAGCUUAAUCUUCUUUAAUAGAUGCGCACUCGCUACAUCCAUGACUAGCGACAGCUAUUUUUGUUCGAGGACUCAUAUCCAGUUGAUCUAAAGAUAUGUUAGGUUAUCUGGAAAUAGGAACUCUGACAAUCAGCUUUUGAAAAAUUAUGCAGAUUGCUCGAGUCCUCGAAGGGCAUCAAUCUGCUACUGACCUUGAUGAUGGGACCGGAGCUGGGCCGAGUAACAGCAAUUACAGGGAACCAACAGGUGAAUAUGGCUUGUAUGCAUGUGGCUCGAGUAGCGGGUCCUAGCCGCCAAACAGCGCAAGAUCUGGAGAUGGGAAGGAUGGGGCUCACAUUUUGCGACCUUGAAUAGUUUGUAGACUUCUUGUUUUUACGCUUUACCAUGGAUGGCAAGAUAGGACUGGGACAUGUAAAAGAAAAAAAAAAUCUGGUGUGAUUAGUUUUGUAUCCAAGUUUGUGUCCAGUAAUUUGCCAAAUAAUAACAAUUUAUGUAUUUUUUUUUUUUGGGAAUAGAUUUGGAAUAUAAAUUUGUUUGGUAAAAUUUUUAUUUGGAGCAAAUUUUUUAUUUUUUUAUUCUCAAGUGGAUCCUUAGUUCGGAAUGAUUCCCACUUCACUCAUGCACUGAAUCCCCUGCUAAGAGAGCUCCAAGGACCAUAUGGAUUGCGAGCACAAGCUUCGCCUGAUACCUCGGUCAUUUGCUCGGUCUGGAUUCCAGCAUUGCACAUGUUUGCAAAGGAGCGCACGUACUUCAACCCAUAUUCAGAGAGUGAUCCACAAUGAGUCUCAAAUGUUCUCACCUGCAUUAAGCAUUGUCAUCAUCACACUAGUCAAGACGGCAAAGAAUACUCAAUCGUUGUGUCAAAAAAUCCCAUUCCCCCAAAGUGUAAGAUUUAAGAUCAAUAAUAUAAAGAACAAAUCGAACUGACAUAGUAAAAGGUUCACAAUGUCAAUGCAAAUGUCGGCAUCACAAAAAUAUAUCAAACAUGUGUUGGUUGAGAGUAGAGGUGUCAAACAGGUGGGUCAAGUCAGGUUUGGGUCGGGUCAUUAAUGGGUCGAUUCAAAUUAACCCAUUAAUCCAUUUAUAAUCCAUUUAAGCCUAAUAUAAAUUUUUCGACCCAUACUUGAUCCGACUCAUACCCAACCCGACCCAUAUUAAUAAAAUAUUUUCAUAUUUAACCAAAUUUAAGAAAACUUAUUUUUAUGUUUUUUUAAAAAAUUAUAUUACUAAAAAACUUCCAAACUUAUUAUAUAUAUUAUUUUUUAAAAAAUGAUAUUGCUAAAAUAGUUUUAUACAACACAAAUUUAAUGGAUAAUUUUUAUAAUUUUUAAAAUAAUUAUUUAAAAAAAUCAAAUUUUAAUUAUUUUUUAUUUUUUUUAAAAUAAUUUUUUAAUUAUGGGAUUUGCUACCGUCAGAUAUUGCACUAGAAAUGGAAUAGAGGAGGCAGAGGUGACUACAAGGGAGGCAGUAGUAGCGCAUGCGGAUUUUUAUUUUUAUUUUUAAAAUAUAUAUAUAUAUAUUUUUUUUCUUUUUAGUUCUUCUUCUUUGGCUGGCCGUCGGCCAUCGUUGUGGUUGGCAGCCGGCCACAAGCAAGCCUCGAGCUCGCUCGAGGCCAGUGAGCUUGAGGCUCGCCAGAUCGGCGAGGCUGGAGCCUUGCUUGACGCCCGCGAGCUCGAGUCUCGCCAGAUUGGCGAGGCUUGAGCCUUGCUGGACGUCGGCGAUCGACCCUGGCGAGUUCGAGUCUCGCCAGAUCGACAAGGUUCAAGCCUCACCGGGAGUCAGCAAGGCCUCCACCUCACCAAAUCCGGCGAGCUUGAGUUCGCCCGACACCGGCAAACUUGAGGCUCGCUUGGGUGCAGGCGACCGGAAGAAGAAGAUAGAAAAAAAAAAAAAGAAGAAGAAAGAAAAGAAAAGAACAUGAAAGAAAAAAGAAAAAAAAUUAAAAUAAAAAAUAAUUAUAAUUGCAGUAUUCAUAAAAAAAUAUUUUUGUAAGUUAAAGAGAAAAGAGAAUCUCUCGACCCACUUAAAACCAAACCCAUUUAAAACCCAUUUAGUAAACCCAUUUAACUACUUUUUGUCAAACACAAAUGACCCAUAUAUGAGCAAUUUAUAAUUUUGACACCUCUAGUUCAGAGGUCAUGAGGGAGUAAUUACCAGACUUUUUAGGCAAGCCCAGUCAUCAACAAAAGGUUGUCCCACAGGUCGAACAGCUUUCAGCACCUCUGGACCCUUUUUAAUUCCAAACAAGAGCUUUCCAAUUAGUUUGACACU
rnacentral:lncRNA from 1 species